rnacentral:rRNA from 1 species
UACGUAGGGGGCAAGCGUUGUCCGGAUUUAUUGGGCGUAAAGAGCGUGUAGGCGGCCAGGUAGGUCUGCUGUGAAAACUCGAGGCUCAACCUCGAGACGCCGGUUGAAACCAUCUGGCUAGAGUCCGGAAGAGGAGAGUGGAAUUCCUGGUGUAGCGGUGAAAUGCGCAGAUAUCAGGAAGAACACCCGUGGCUAAGGCGGCUCUCUAGUACGGUACUGACGCUGAGACGCGAAAGCGUGGGGAGCGAACAGG